rnacentral:rRNA from 1 species
GAACGCUGGCGGCGUGCUUAACACAUGCAAGUCGAGCGGAAAGGCCCUUCGGGGUACUCGAGCGGCGAACGGGUGAGUAACACGUGAGUAACCUGCCCCUGACUCUGGGAUAAGCCUGGGAAACUGGGUCUAAUACCGGAUAUGACACCCUUCCGCAUGGUGUGGGUGUGGAAAGUUUUUUCGGUUGGGGAUGGGCUCGCGGCCUAUCAGCUUGUUGGUGGGGUGAUGGCCUACCAAGGCGACGACGGGUAGCCGGCCUGAGAGGGCGACCGGCCACACUGGGACUGAGACACGGCCCAGACUCCUACGGGAGGCAGCAGUGGGGAAUAUUGCGCAAUGGGCGGAAGCCUGACGCAGCGACGCCGCGUGGGGGAUGACGGCCUUCGGGUUGUAAACCUCUUUCAGCAGGGACGAAGUUGACGUGUACCUGUAGAAGAAGCGCCGGCUAACUACGUGCCAGCAGCCGCGGUAAUACGUAGGGCGCGAGCGUUGUCCGGAAUUAUUGGGCGUAAAGAGCUCGUAGGUGGCUU